rnacentral:lncRNA from 1 species
AUGAAUUACAAAUUUGCUGCCAUUCCACUUGCUUCAAGUGUGAAAUAUGCAAACGACCUUUGGAAAAUCUACAAGCAGGUGACAGUAUUUGGAUUUACAGACAGACAAUACACUGUGAACCUUGCUACUCUAAAGUUAUGGCACAGUGGAUGCAAUAAGGCAGGUACAUCAUCAAUCAAGAUGAAAAGUAUUACUCAAGGAAUUAAAAGUUACACAUUUUUCUUUAAAUUAUUUAGAAAAGCUUCUACACUGAAGAUCUGUGUUUUGGUGUACAUGGUGGUUUCCAGUGUUACCAAGUUCCUCAUUUUCUCACCUUUAUUCCCUAAGAGUUUGGAUUAACAGGCAUUAUUCACCUGUUGAAAAAUAUGCUAAAGGCAGCAAAAUGUACUUCCUUUUCCUGUAAAAGAAAUGCCACGAGAGAAAUUUUCUUAUAAUGUUUGACAAAAAGACCUUAGAAAAUCACUUAAACUUUCCGUAUUUCUGCCGCAUUAUUUGUAGCAUUAAGGGCAUUGAACAAAAUGAUUUCUGUGACCCAUUUCUAAAGGAAGUUUGAGUUUGCUCCUUAGAAAUGCAUUACUAUAGGUGUCUGUUAAGCUUAUUGAACUAGAGAGGACACAGAAACAAUUUCACCUAGGGUCAACCUUCAGUCUAUCCCAGGCACAGUUUUUAUAGACUGUGUUUUUUUAAAAAAAGAAAAAAAGUAGAUUUCUGGGUAAUAGGUAAAAUCAUGUGACAUGUAUCAUUUAUACACUAUAAUUUGUUAAAUUUUCUUUGCAUGCAUUUCAAAAUCUGGGUAUACAAAUAAUCUGUGAGAAGUAGUGGUUAUGGAUUACAAAAAUGUGUUGCAUAUGUUCAUGUUACAUAGCAGUUCAUAUUAACAGAAGGCUUAUAAAAAUAAAAUG